CUUGUCACAUUUUUGUGGAGCUACAAAUUAAUGGAUGUCAGUGCUUGACACAGGUCAGACAAAGUUCAACACAGGCUGCAGACAUGCUUCAACAUGUUGAGAUGAUGAAGCAUGAAUAGUUCAUGAAUGUGAACUAUUCUGAUUCAACGGAUCUGAACGGUUACAUGGAUCCAACCUAGAUAAAUAUCUUAGCAUUUACUUUUAAAAAUUAGAUGUCUUGAAAAAUCAUCUUGUCCAUUCUGCAUCAUACCUGGCACAAUUAGCAGUGGAGAGCUCUCAUAUGCCAAAUGAAAAACCGCCUUUCAACACUGGCUGAAGAACAAGUAAAUACCUACUGAAAAGCUUCCUGAAGUCUGCAAUGUAAUUUGGAGAUCUUACAUCAAAAGAAUGACCCCAGCCCCAUCAGAUACCAGUUACAGAAAAGAAAUGGAGAAGAAGAGGGAGAGAAAACCACACAGCCUCAAGCAAUUUCCACCAGUUUUCACUUAAACUACCCCACGCCAAGCAUUAUUUCAUUAAAAUGCUGUGUUCUGAGGAUGACUCAUCAGGCAACUAAUAUUUCUAUAUGAACUACAGCUCUAUAAUCUCCCUGUGAAGCCUGACAUUGCUUCCAAAGAUUGCAUACUUUCUUUUUCUGCAGAGGAGAGGUCUGGCACCUAAAAUCUUAUCUGAAGUUGUAGAAUUGGCAAAUAAAUCAUGAUUAGAGUCUCUGUUUUCAGAUUGCCUUCAAAAAGCAAAGGAUUUCCCUUAAAAUCUUUUAUAUCUUCCCUCUCAUUCCCUUUGUCCACGCCCCACCCCGUAAGUAUUCCCUCAAUGUUUUAAAGGUUUUGAUGAGUUCCAGCUAGACAACCAAAUCAGAUAAAACCUAACUAGCAGCUACUAUGCUGAGUUGGAGGUAAAUAAAAAUAAAAAAUAACAAUUCUGCAACUGCAAUUCUCUCUCUGUUUUUAUUCAUGAAAUUUAAGAACCACUGAAAUUGCUAAAAAUACAUUUUGUGUCACUGGCAGCAGAAAUCUAGAACUGAAAUUUUGCUAGGUGCCAUUGCCAAAAGCUGCAUUCUUCCUGCAAUAUAAGUAUCUAGCAGAGCUGAAGUAGAACACAGAUGGAGGCUAAAGUAGGCUUAACACCACUAAUUCAUGCAUCACUGCUGUUGGGCUUUGCUGAACA